rnacentral:rRNA from 1 species
UUUUUUGCUGACGACCGGCGCACGGGUGCGUAACGCGUAUAGAACCUACCUUUUACAGAGGGAUAGCCUUUAGAAAUGAAGAUUAAUACCUCAUGGCACUGAAUUUUGGCAUCGGAAUUUAGUUAAAGAUUUAUCGGUAAAAGAUGGCUAUGCGUCCUAUUAGCUAGAUGGUAAGGUAACGGCUUACCAUGGCAAUGAUAGGUAGGGGUCCUGAGAGGGAGGUCCCCCACACUGGUACUGAGACACGGACCAGACUCCUACGGGAGGCAGCAGUGAGGAAUAUUGGGCAAUGGAGGCAACUCUGACCCAGCCAUGCCGCGUGCAGGAAGACGGCCCUAUGGGUUGUAAACUGCUUUUAUACGGGAAGAAACAUCGCUACGUGUAGCGACUUGACGGUACCGUAAGAAUAAGCACCGGCUAACUCCGUGCCAGCAGCCGCGGUAAUACGGAGGGUGCAAGCGUUAUCCGGAAUCAUUGGGUUUAAAGGGUCCGCAGGCGGUCAAUUAAGUCAGAGGUGAAAUCCCAUAGCUUAACUAUGGAACUGCCUUUGAUACUGGUUGACUUGAGUCAUAUGGAAGUAGAUAGAAUGUGUAGUGUAG